rnacentral:lncRNA from 1 species
AGCAAAGUAAGAUUUACAAAUAAGUCAACAUGACUGAAAUGGUCAAUUGACCCCCUAAGGAGUUAUUGUCCUUUAUAGUCAAUUUUAAACAAUUUUUAUAAAAUUUGUAAAUUUUUACUAACAUUUUCCACUGAAACUAGAUAGAGAUAACUGUAAGCAGCAAGAAUGUUCAGUAAAGUAAGACGUACAAACACAUCACCAUCACCAAAACA